CAGCACCUCAAGUGGUCAGGAUGAUUAUUGGGCCUAAAGCAUCCGUAGCCGGCGCUGUAAGUUUUCGGUUAAAUCUGUACGCUCAACGUACAGGCUGCCGGGAAUACUGCAGCGCUAGGGAGUGGGAGAGGUAGACGGUACUCGGUAGGAAGGGGUAAAAUCCUUUGAUCUAUUGAUGACCACCUGUGGCGAAGGCGGUCUACCAGAACACGUCCGACGGUGAGGGAUGAAUGCUGGGGGAGCAAACCGGAUUAGAUACCCGGGUAGUCC
rnacentral:rRNA from 1 species